AAAAAAUAGGAAGUCAGCAACAGGAAAGCGGGUGUGCUCUCAGCAGCAGUGUUAAGGGUUGAGUCCUGAGGAAGGACACAAGGAACAAAACGCUGCAUCGAAGCCGCCUGCUGAAGGCAGAGUAGUGUGACUGACGGCACCUACAGCUCUGAGCAUCUCAGGAAACAUAAAAGUUGAUGCAGGGCACAGAACCGUGUGUGGCUGCCCCUCGUGCACGAUUAAAAGCAGCAAUAUCCACGGGGAGAGGGGGGGAGGGGUGGGUCGCAUUCUGCAGUGCGUUUUCUAGCUCGGAGCUGAGCCCAGGAUGGAGGCCUGGGAGAGAAGUGAAGUGGGGGGGGGGGGGGGGGGGGGAGGACGCGGGAGGGCAGCGCGGCGAGAGCGGGCGCCCCCCAGCCGUGCCAGGGCCGGCGCUGCAUGGCGCUGCUCAGCCUGCCUUGCAGAGGGAGCUCGAGUCCCGCUCUGCGCCUCGCAGCGCCUCUCCCUCCGCAGCGCACACGGCAGCGGCGCAGCGAGGUGGCGGCAGGCAGGGCUGCGGGCCGGGCCGGGCCACGAGAACCGCCGCACCGCUCCGCCGAGCUCCGAACCCCCCGAGGAGGUGGAGGAGGGAGAAAGGAGAGAGCCCCGAGGAGCCUGAGCAUCACUCCUGCUGUGGAGCUGUGCCAUAGGAAUGGGAAGAGCUUGCCAGUCUACUGUGGAGGAGAUGAUGUUAAAGCCACACAGAUGAGGUUAUUCCUAGGAGUUCCAGGAGCAGAGUCAUUUCGUCCCGACGUGCAGCACCCUGCCUGCCCUGACAGAAGGUUGCUUUCCUGCUCCAAUCUCUGCAGCCAAGGUACAGCUUAUCCUGGAAGAUGGUAUUCUACUGCAGGGAUGGGGCCAGGCUUUGGCAGAGCAAGGAGAACACCCGCAUAGGCUGCUGGAGCGCUGAGCUGUUCGUACUUCCAGGGCUUAGCUGGGGGAAAAAGAAACAACACCAAACAGAAGUCUGGGCCACUUAUUACCUGCAGGGUGUUUCUGUCCACAGCUGUUACCCAACAGCUGCGUGUGCCAGCCAAGACCCGUAUUCUCACUCCUGCUGCCUGCAGCUGGGAGCAUGAUACAGAGCUAUGGGAGAAAUACUGUGCUUUUGGCCUGCGGCUUGUGCAACCCCCAAGCAGGUGGAAUAAUGCUAAGCUAGCACUGAUGGGGCAGAGCAUCUCCUGCUUGUACCUUUCCUGCAGUUCUGUCUGCAGAUAAAGCCAUAUCCAAAAGUGGUUGCUCUGAAGGCAGCACCCUGACAGGUGUCAGGCUUGCUGAGGUGUUGCUGCGUCUGCUUGGUGCUACUGUGUCCCAGGUACCCAGCACAGACCUGGGAGGCAGAGAGCUGACCAGAACUGCCCUGAGCCACCUCCUGGCCUUGCAGGCUUAUGGUACCAAAGCACACCCCAGCAUGAGAGAUGCCUGGGUGCUCCUGCUGCUGACGUGGUGCUUCCCAGCUAGUUACAGGAAGCAGAUGUCCCAUUUGGGGCACCCUGUGCACCAUGGCAUGCUUUCAUCCCUUUUGCAGGCUCUUACGAUGCACCUCCACUAGCAGCCCCCUACCAAAACAGAACAACCCAAGAGCCUGAGCUCCCUGGGACAUCUGGGUCCCCUGCAAGUGCACAGUGGGCAGGCAGAGCCAGCAGGAUAAGAACAUGAAGUCUGAGGCAGCCUGACAAAGGACUGUUAGUAAGGACAGCGGUCCCGGAGGCUGCGAGCUGCUGGGCUUUGCUAAGAAACCCAUCGAGAUGGUGCUGGCCCCAGGGGUCCUUGCUUCUGCUGGCUGUUGGGGCAUUUUGCUGCUUUAACCUACUCCUCUCUCAGAACUGUGAGGGCUGCUAAGAUGAUUAAGAGCUUGGAGCACCUGCCAUAUAAAAAAAAAGAGCCUGGGAGAAUGGAGGCUUGGAGCGGUUCUUAUCCAUGUCUCUCAACACUUGGUGGUGGGUAAAGAAGAGAGACCAGUUCUCCUUAGUGAUGCCCAGUGACAGAAUGAGAGCCAUACUGAUAGCAAAAUACAGGAGUUCCAUUUAAACUAAAGAAAUGUUUUUUCUGUGAGGCUGGCUGAAUACUGGAACAGGUGGCACAGAAGUGUUCUGUCAUCUCCAUCUUUGGAAACGGUCCUGGGCAGCCUGCUUGAACUAACUCACGUUGAGCAGGGGGGGGGAAUGGAAGGCCAUGUUCAGAGGUCCCUUCCCAACUCAAUUCCACAAUUCCUUGAUGCGUUGUGGCUUGGUAUCGCUGUGAUGAGACAUACAUGGUCCUACCAUUCUGACUUCCAGCCAUUGCCUCCCUUCUCUGGGGCAGGUCAGGGCUUCCCUGUGCUGAGCACAGCUCAGCUGUGACCCUGCUCUGCGCAAUGCAUUGUGGCGCCUUAGCGAGGCUUCCCAUGCCCUGCAGCCCAGGUUUGGCAGCAUCAUGGUAACUCUCACACAGCUCAGGGACAGUGAAAACUCCUUCUGCUGCUAAAAGAGAUAGCUGCUGUACUGCUGGUAAAAGCAGAAGGUUGAUCCUCACCUGAGAAACACCCACCCAGCUUUCAGUCCAGGGAGACACCCCCAGGCCAGAGCUCCCUGCCCCUUGGCACAGGGGCUGAACACCCACGCAGCAACACCGACGCUCAUUAAAGGUUUACUUUUAUUUCUGGUUUAAAAUCAAAAUUAGUCAUUCUCUGUAAUUACAUUAUAUAUAGAUUUAUAGAGACAUUAUAGAAAAGAAUUUGUCGCUUUUUUUCUGCAAAAAAAAAAAAAAAAGAAAUCUGUAAAUAAAAAAUAAAAUAAACAACAAGGAAAGGAAAAGGUGGCAGUGUCCGUCUGUCCGUCCCUCUGUCGCUCCUCCUGCCCCUGCCCUCCACAGCACUCCCCCGCAGAGGGGAAGGGCUCUGGGCUGGGGCUGUGCCUCACUGCGCCCCACCGCCGGGGAGGGACAGGAGCAUGCGGAGCUGGAAAGAAGAAAUGCCAGCAGAAUAUAUUAAUAUAUCUCAUAUCUCAUUUUAUUUAAGUCCUGCGGACUUCCAGGUGGCAAAAGGGCAGCGGUUCCCUCCCAGCCCAGGCGACUUCUGGAAAGAAACAGCAUCGCUUCCAAAGUGUGGGUCCUUCCAGGAAAGGGCACGCGGCCCGAGCAGCAGGAAGGCAAGAGGCGGAGGAAUCCGCACACCCUUGAACAGAUCCCAUCUCCAAAAGCCGGCAGAGCUCCCAGUCCAGGAGCUGGGGCAAGUGGGCGAGGCCCAGGGCUGUGCCAGGUGCAGCAUGCCAACCAGCUGUGCACUUCUGCAUGCACCUACAUGGGGACCCCAAGAGCUUCCCAGCACCCCCGCGUACACACAGGGAUGCACACUCCAUGCUGAGAGAUCUCUGCCCAGCAGCCCUGCACACAGAUCUGCACGCAGCAGCCAUCCCCAGCAGAGCUGGUGACGUGGGACACAGGACACGUGGCACCUAUGUGCGCAGGCAUUGCCGCGGGGCUACGAACAACCAAGACACACAGACUCCAAAAAGUGACGUGGCUGACAGGCUCUAAGACAGAGACAUUUGUGAGCAAAGCAGGAGUGGGGCUGAGGGACGAGGACAGCUCACAUGUCCCAACCUGUGCAGCAGCUGCCGCGGUCUGGAGGCCUAGAAACCCAACUCAGAUGGUUCUCUCAGUGCCAUCUAGCAAAUAAUAAAUAACACCCACGCUUAGGGCUGUGCCCGCAGGAAUCCUCGCUGCCCACCACCGCUCUCACCCCACACAGCUGGGGCACCGUAAGCCGGAGCAUGGGGCAGGCAGGGAUCAGCCCAGGCCCCUAUCUCCCUUGGGCAGUGUGCCAUGGGGUGAUGCAGGACACUCACCACACAGCAUCAGGCUCUGCUUGGCUGCCUCCCGCACAGGCUCCUUGUCGGUUUGGCACAGGUAAACCAGCUGCUCGAUGCUCUCCUUGGCCUGCAGGAGAGGGAAGAGGGCUGAGUGUGGUUGGUGCCAGCCACGUGGAUGUGACCCACUGGGGAAGGCAGCAAGGUUCCUGCAGCCCUGCAGUAGGUUGCAGGCAGGGCAGACCCCCAAGCCCCCAUCGGAGCUCAACCUCCAGACCAGCCCUGGGCAGAAAAAGUCACGGAAUCAUAGAAUCACAGAAUGGCUUGGGUUGGGAGGGACCUGCAAGAUCAUCCAGUUACAACCCUAAAGUCCCUUGGCUGUGUCCCCUUUCCCUUCCUACUGUGCCCCAGCACAUUUGGGGCACCCCUAGGAGCUGAAGGCUGCACAGAGACAGCAGCAGGCAGCAUCAGUUCCUCUCCACCCACCCCACAGCCAGCUCAGCCUGGAAGCAGAUACCCCAUGUGCUCCUUCGUGCACCCAUCUCACCUUGAGGCAGCCCAGCGCCACGCAGCCGGCCACGCGUGUCUGCACCUCCUCAUCCUCCAGCUGUCCCAGGAAGCACACGAGGGCCUGGGGCAGAGCGAGGGCUCAGUGCCACCACUUCAAGUAGCGACCCAGAGCCCACCUCCCCCCCUCCUGCCCACAGCGUACCCGUUGGCGGAAGCGGGGGUUUUCCGCCAGGCUGCGGAGCUGUGCCGACACGGCGCUCACCACCUUGCUGUUUCCUUCCACGAGCAGCAAGCUGAGCGCCUUCAGCCCUUCCUUCUUCAGGCGGCCCUCGGGCACACGCUUCAGUGCCCGCAGCACCACAUCCUGGUCGUCUGAGUUGAGGUUCUGCGCCAGCAGCACUGUGGGGACAGCCCGGUGAGCUGAGCAUCUGUGGGGAGCUCAGCCUCCAGCCACAGCAGUCAGAGGGAUCCCACAAUAGGAUGCUGGGGGCGCUGCCCCGCUGCUGGGGUACCUGAGCUGGAGACCUGCAGAAAGCAAGGUCCAAAGGGUGCCCCAGGAUGGGAGUGUAGGAAGGGGCUGAGCACAAGCAAUGGGGCAGGGUGGGCGAGCCUUUGGGUGGGCGAGCCUUUGGGUGAUACCCCACAGUGCUGUACACCCUACAGCCUCCAGCUCAGGGCACGGCAGAAGGGCACCCACCUUCCUCUGCCAGCUCCAUCACGUAGGUGUCGAGCACCAGGGCACCGAGGGCCUCGAAGUGGCUCCAGUACUGGAAGAUGGUGACCUGCUCACCCUGGGUGCCACCGGGUCGCCGUGGCAGCCGCCGGUUCAGCACAUCUUCCACCAGCUUCACACAUACUGUGGGAAAAUAACGGGGUCAGGGCAUGCAGCACCUCGUAGGGUCGGAGAUUCCCUUCUUGCACGUCCACACCUGCACACCCUCACCUGCAUCAGCCAGUCCUGGGUGCCGCUCACUGAUGGGUGCUGCGUACUGCGCACUGAGCACCUGCAGGAACCGCUCCACGGGGCAGGUGUAGAUGUUGGGCAGCUCCACGCAGUGGUCCCAAAGGGGCAGCACCCCUUCUUUCCGUGUUGAGAACUGCACCACUGCGGGGACAGGCGGUGUCAAGCUGCACAUCCAGCUGGCACAUCCCUCCCGUGCAGCCCCUUGCUGCCCUUACCUCCGGCAGCAGAGCCCGCUGCUUCCGACCGCUCCUCCAUCAGUUGGCACACGAUCUCCAGCACCUGCGCCUCCCGCAGCAGCCUGUCCAGGGCGAACAUCUCCCGGCACCUCAGAGGCCCAAAGGUGCCCAGGUUCUGUGAGGCACAGGUAUGCCAGUGACCUUAAGGACAGCACAGCACCCAGACCCCAGCACAGCCACAGCAAGGCAUCUCGGAGGGUCUUAGGGGGGCCAGAAACUGCGAGGAGCCAUGGCCAGCCCCAGGAUGUGUCCCACUAUUGCAUCCCACUCCCUGCAGGGAGCCUUGGCCAACCCCACCACGUGUCCCCGCAUCGUGUCCCAGUCCCCAGUCUCACCAGCAGCAGGUGGUUGCAGUUGUGGAGGUGAAGCACCAGGGCCUUAUCCAGGAACUCACUGCCGGUGCUCAUGGGGUCCGCGCUGCCCUCAGAGCCGCUGCACGUUCCAGUGUCAUCCGCUCCCACCUCACCAGCGCUGGCAGCCCUGCUUCCACGCCGUGCUCUGCUGGCCCUCCUGCAAACCAGCAAGAGCUGGAUCAGCACAGGGCACCCGAACCCAGCCCUUCCUUUCCCACCAGAGCUCAGCACCCCAAG
rnacentral:lncRNA from 1 species